rfam:Glycine soja cultivar W05 scaffold4376_18, whole genome shotgun sequence.
UGAUUCACUGCAUCUUCUUAAUCAAGGAAAUCACGGUCGCGUGUGUGCCGGAAAGAAAGUGGCCUGUGAUCUCCGGUUUCUCUUUCUCGACCGUGUUUCCUUGGUUAACGAUAUGUGCUGGAUCA